rnacentral:rRNA from 1 species
GAGUCCUACGGGACGCAGCAGGGAAUCUUCCACAAUGGGCGAAAGCCUGAUGGAGCAACGCCGCGUGGGUGAAGAAGGUCUUCGGAUCGUAAAACCCUGUUGUUAGAGAAGAAAGUGCGUGAGAGUAACUGUUCACGUUUCGACGGUAUCUAACCAGAAAGCCACGGCUAACUACGUGCCAGCAGCCGCGGUAAUACGUAGGUGGCAAGCGUUAUCCGGAUUUAUUGGGCGUAAAGGGAACGCAGGCGGUCUUUUAAGUCUGAUGUGAAAGCCUUCGGCUUAACCGGAGUAGUGCAUUGGAAACU